GAUCAUGGCUCAGGAUGAACGCUGGCGGCGUGCCUAAUACAUGCAAGUCGAACGCUUCACUUCGGUGAAGAGUGGCGAACGGGUGAGUAGUACAUAAGUAACCUGGCAUCUACAGGGGGAUAACUGAUGGAAACGUCAGCUAAGACCGCAUAGGUGUAGAGAUCGCAUGAACUCUAUAUGAAAAGUGCUACGGGACUGGUAGAUUAUGGACUUAUGGCGCAUUAG
rnacentral:rRNA from 1 species